AGUCCCGUGGUCUAGUGGUUAAGAUUUCGCUCUUAUACCUUUAAGUCGUUUCACGGCUAACGGUCAUGAUCAAUGCGGAUACCCGGGUUCAAACCCCGGCGGGACUA
rfam:Podospora anserina genomic DNA, chromosome 5.